AUGAAAGCGCAUAUCUUGCAAUAUGUGCGCUGCUGUCAAGUGUGCCAACAGGCCAAACCUGACUAUAGUGCAUCUCCGGGCUUGCUGAUGCCGUUGCCUAUACCUCAAGAGUCAUGUGACUUGAUCACCAUGGACUUCGUGGAUGGUUUGCCGCAGUCGGGACAAUUCAAUUGCCUUCUGGUAGUGGUGGACAAACGCACCGGGUUUGCUCACUUUCUGCCCCUAGCGCAUCCUUACACUGCUUCCAAGGUGGCCUUGCUUUACAUGCAGCAGCUCUACAAACUUCACGGGUUCCCUGGCGCAAUUGUGUCUGAUCGUGAUCUAGUUUUCACUAGCCAUAUUUGGCAAGAGCUGUUCAACUAUGCAGGCACGGAACUGCGCAUGAGCAUGGCAAAUCAGCCACAAACGGAUGGCCAGACCGAGAGGGUGAAUCAAUGCAUCGAGACAUACUUGCGGUGCUUCAUCCAGGCGUGUCCAAAAUGCUGGAGCUUCUGGAUACCACUGGCGCAGUUCUGGUACAAUACCUUGCACCACUCGGCGAUCGGCAUGACCCCAUUCAAGGCCAUGUUUGGACGUGAACCAAGGCAUUGGGGGAUUACAACUACUACAUCAUGCACAGUGUCAGCGCUGCAAGCUUGGCUCAAGGAGCGAACCGUCAUGCAAGGGGUUAUCCAACAA
rnacentral:rRNA from 1 species